UACUUAAUUAACAUCCACUCCCAAUUCUUUAACUUGUAAUCAAUUUUCUAAAAUAGCUUUCUAGGAAAUUGUAUAUCAAGAAAGGCGAGAACGGCGGAUGCUGAACCGAAGCAGUUAUCAUCGCUAUCGGUGGCCACUUUGGAGAUAGUAAAAGAUCGGCCUCAUCAAAAGAGAAAUAGGAAGCUACAUGGAGGUACUGUUAGGCACUUUGACAACAACGACCCCCCACUAUAGUUGGUUGUUCGCUGUUUGCUUGGCUGAUGAGCACCUUUUGCUGUCAAGCAGGCUCUACAGGUAUUAUUAUGACCUAGCUGGGCAUCAGUGCCGCACAAAAACUGAAGUACUGUGUGCAUGGGAAAAAAUGGGCGUCAUCUUCAUUCAUCCUUGAUUAAUUCAGAUGUUUAGACUAUCAAAGGUUUUACCUUGUAGAGCCUGCCUGACGGCACACGACACUCUUCAGCCAACCAACCAGCCAGCAAACAACUAUAGAGGGGGGUCGUUAUUGUCAAAAUGCCUGACAGUACCUCCUGGUAGCUUCCUAUUUCUCUUUUGAUAAGGCCGACCUUUUACUAUCUGCAAAGUGGCUAUCGAUAGCGACGACAACUGCUUCUGUUUGGCAUACGUCGUUCUCGCCUUUCUUGACAUACAAUUUCCCAUAGAGCUAUUUUAGAACAUUGAUUACAAGUUAAAGAAGUGGAUGUAAAUGUUUUUUUUUUUCCUUAGUCAAUAUAAAGAUAAGAAAAAUAGAAGGAAAUUGGAGAAAUCCAACCUCUUUCAAAGACAACAAGAUUAUAAAACA